GAUCUGGCUCAGAUUGAACGCUGGCGGCAGGCCUAACACAUGCAAGUCGAACGGUAACAGAAAGCAGCUUGCUGCUUUGCUGACGAGUGGCGGACGGGUGAGUAAUGUCUGGGAAACUGCCCGAUGUAGGGGGAUAACUACUGGAAACGGUAGCUAAUACCGCAUAACGUCGCAAGACCAAAGAGGGGGGACCUUCGGGCCUCUUGCCAUCGGAUGUGCCCAGAUGGGAUUAGCUAGUAGGUGGGG
rnacentral:rRNA from 1 species